CAUAAUAAAUUGGAGAAAGAAAUAAAGACAUAUAAUCUUGUAUGUAAUUGACUUGCAAGCAAGAAUACUGAGCAUAACGAAACAACACAACAAAAAGACAAUCAAUUGAUGGCACAAGAGUUGAAAGUGAGUUGGCCGAUACCACAACUAAGACAUCCAAGACGGACAGUUCGAUAACUUCCACAGGUUCAUAUAUAUUGUGUAGAAAACAUAAUACGGGAACAGGGUGAGAAAGUCUUUAACUGGACUUAAUGUCUAAACCCAAAAUGAAAAAUUUCAUACUAGGAGAUCUUCUCCAUCAUCGUCGUGAUCUUGAUCCACCUUGUCUUGCUUCAUCUGGAUAUGAAGGAAAUAGCUCGAUGUACCUUGAUCCAAUCUCCAUAUUGUCCUUGCACAUAGCUUUCUUUGCCUCCUCAGCCGAUGCAAACUCCACAUAAGCAUCACCAGUAGCUUUUCCAUCCGAGCGGUAGGUAAUGUUUAUCUUGUCAUCUGUAAGGUUAAAUUCAUCACCAAAAAACUUGAGGAUAUCAGAUUUCUUACAACGGUAAGGGAGACCGCGCAUCUUCAGUAUCUCUGUGUACUCCAUUUGAUCUUUGUUCUGGGCCCUCUUUGGACGAGGUGGAGGGGAAGCACGGUAGUCAGAUUCAUAACCUCCUUCCUUCACCUCAGCAGCUAUAGCUUGGUAAUAAUCUUGCUUCUUGCAACUGAAAACCUCUACAUAUCUCCUCCCCAUGUUCUGUCUAUCCCUCCGAAGAGCAUAAUCCACUUGAAUGUGACCAGCAAAGACAACAAAUGCUUCUCCAGAGAACCUACCAUCCUUGUUGACCACAAAAAUAUCCACAAUGUCCAGGCCAGCAAAGAACUUGUAAAUGUCAAUUUCAGUGCAAUCAAAUGGAAGACCCCUUAAACGAACAACAGGAAAGGCAGAAGGCUGACAUCUGUUAUCAUAGUCAAAAGCCUGCUGAUAGCCACUUGCACUGCUGUUCACUGCGAAGUAGGGAUUUGAUU
rnacentral:misc_RNA from 1 species